rnacentral:rRNA from 1 species
UACGAAGGGGGCUAGCGUUGUUCGGAAUUACUGGGCGUAAAGCGCGCGCAGGCGGUCUUCCAAGUCAGGGGUGAAAUCCCGGGGGCUCAACCUCGGAACUGCCUUUGAUACUGCGAAUCUUGAGUCCGAUAGAGGUGGGUGGAAUUCCUAGUGUAGAGGUGAAAUUCGUAGAUAUUAGGAAGAACACCAGUGGCGAAGGCGGCCCACUGGAUCGGUACUGACGCUGAGGUGCGAAAGCGUGGGGAGCAAACAGG